UUAAUUCCCAACUACCCCCAAACCUUAGUCAAAGUAGUCAUUUUUUACAUACAGUAGCCUUUGUAUUACCCCCCCCCCCUCUCUCUCAGACUCCAUCGAACCCUAACCGCCGCCAUCAAACUACAACCCUAAAUCCAUGGCUUCCAAGGUCACCGGAGACCUGUAUCAACCCCCAUGGCUUCUAUGUGUUCGAUUCUUAUGGUCUCAAGGCUAGAUCUUGAAAGAGUUUGGUCCAGACCCUGUUCGAUUUUAGUUCAUGGAUGUUCUCUGGUCGUCUCUGACCUUUCACCAACCAGACAUGGCUAGUCGAGUUAGACUUUGACUCUCCGGCUUAGAUCGAUGGUUUUCAAAGCCUUUUUCAUCACUUGGGUUCCUUCUGAAACCCUAACCUCUAAAGGUUCUUUCGAUUUCUCUUAGAUCUGUUUCAGAUCUAUGUUUGCUCUAGACUUAUGUGUUUUGCUUUAUGUUUUUUUUAAAACUCUACCUUCAAAACCUCUUAUCUUUUCCGAUCAGAGUUUUGUUAAGUUAUUUCAAAUAGUUCUCUGGUUUUUCUUAACAUGUCUUUCUAUGUUUGCUCAUAUCGUUCUUCUACUUGAGUUUUCAUGUUAAAGCCCUAAUUUCUUUUGACUGUUUAUUAGAGGAAUGUUUGUUUGCUUGAGUUUAUCAUAUUUGUUUGUUUAUCCAUCCUUAAAAUUCUUCUAUUGCUGAAUAUCCUAUGGCUUUGAGUCUGAGACUAUUAGUUUAAGUGCAUGACUCAAUUUGAAGUUCUUAAUUUUGAAACAUUUUGCUCCUUUGUGUGAUUCUUCUUAUUCUGAGUUUCUAUCAUCUCUAAAUCUUGAUUAUGUUCGAAACCCUAUAGGGGGUUUUCCUCACCUACUACUGUGAGAUUUUCACAUGCUUUUGAUAUUCUAUGUUUCUUCACUACUGUUUUAGCUAACCAUCAUGCUUCGAGUGUUGCUAUCUAUUGAAUUUUCUUUUUGUGCUACUAUUGCAUGCUAUUUCCUCUUUCCAACAGGCUUGGCCUCGCAUAUAUAAUGUUUAUGCACCCUAUUUAUAUGCUGAGUCUCCUUCUUUGACUGAUUUUCAAACUUGUGACUAAUUUCAAACUUUUCCUUUGUGAAAUUAUAAUUUCACUUGCCCGUUAAAGUUAACUGAUUUCUUUUCCUAUUUGUCUUACUGAAUCCUUUCCAAUAUUAGAGUAUCUGUGAAUCUAGACUCGAUUACUAGCUAAAUAUCUUACUACUUCUUUUAUGGCAACUGUCAACCUGCUGACAAAUUGAUUUCUUUUCUUGUUUUAAACCCGUCAGUGCCCGUUAAGCAAGUGCUCCCUUAAUUAAAGAGAGUCACUUGUAUAAUUGAUUCUGAACCAUGAUUGUUUCCAUGUUUAUGACUUGUAACUCUCUCUCACUUGCUUUAAAAGAAAGACUAUAAUUACCCUAUACUUCUUCUGUUUCAAGACACGAAUACAAGUCAUAAACAUUUGAGUUUAAACACACACUACACUAAAGCUCUCUUCUCUCUCUCUCUCUCUCUCUCUCUCUCUCUCUCUCUCUCUCUCUCUCUCUUCUCUACUAU
rnacentral:lncRNA from 1 species